rnacentral:rRNA from 1 species
AGUGAACGCUGGCGGCGUGCCUAACACAUGCAAGUCGAACGAUGAUGGAGGAGCUUGCUCUUCCUGAUUAGUGGCGCACGGGUGAGUAAUGCAUAGAUAAUGUGCCCCUUAGUUCGGGAUAGCCACUGGAAACGGUGAUUAAUACCGGAUACUCCUUCUUAUCAUAAGAUAAGUCGGGAAAGUUUUUCGCUAAGGGAUCAGUCUAUGUUCCAUCAGUUAGUUGGUGAGGUAACGGCUCACCAAGACAAUGACGGAUAUCUGGUUUGAGAGGAUGAUCAGACACACUGGAACUGAGACACGGUCCAGACUCCUACGGGAGGCAGCAGUGAGGAAUAUUGCACAAUGGAGGAAACUCUGAUGCAGCAACGCCGCGUGGAGGAUGACGCAUUUCGGUGUGUAAACUCCUUUUAUUAGGGAAGAUUAUGACGGUACCUAAUGAAUAAGCACCGGCUAACUCCGUGCCAGCCGCCGCUGUAACAC